GACGAACGCUGGCGGCGUGCUUAACACAUGCAAGUCGAACGAUGUGGCGCACGUGUGAGUAACGCGUAAUCAACCUGCCCUUCAGAGGGGGACAACAGUUGGAAACGACCGCUAAUACCGCAUACUGAAGUAGGUUAUUGCGUUUGAUUAGUCAGUUGGCGGGGUAACGGCCCACCAAGGCGAUGAUCAGUAGCCGGUCUGAGAGGAUGAACGGCCACAUUGGGACUGAGACACGGCCCAGACUCCUACGGGAGGCAGCAGUAGGGAAUCUUCCGCAAUGGACGAAAGUCUGACGGAGCAACGCCGCGUGAGUGAUGACGGCCUUCGGGUUGUAAAGCUCUGUUAAUCGGGACGCGGUACCGAACUAGAAAGCCACGGCUAACUACGUGCCAGCAGCCGCGGUAAUUC
rnacentral:rRNA from 1 species